GCAAGUCGAACGAGUUCUGAUUAUUGAAAGGUGCUUGCAUCUUGAUUUAAUUUUGAACGAGUGGCGGACGGGUGAGUAACACGUGGGUAACCUGCCCUUAAGUGGGGGAUAACAUUUGGAAACAGAUGCUAAUACCGCAUAAAUCCAAGAACCGCAUGGUUCUUGGCUGAAAGAUGGCGUAAGCUAUCGCUUUUGGAUGGACCCGCGGCGUAUUAGCUAGUUGGUGAGGUAACGGCUCACCAAGGCAAUGAUACGUAGCCGAACUGAGAGGUUGAUCGGCCACAUUGGGACUGAGACACGGCCCAAACUCCUACGGGAGGCAGCAGUAGGGAAUCUUCCACAAUGGACGCAAGUCUGAUGGAGCAACGCCGCGUGAGUGAAGAAGGCUUUCGGGUCGUAAAACUCUGUUGUUGGAGAAGAAUGGUCGGCAGAGUAACUGUUGUCGGCGUGACGGUAUCCAACCAGAAAGCCACGGCUAACUACGUGCCAGCAGCCGCGGUAAUACGUAGGUGGCAAGCGUUAUCCGGAUUUAUUGGGCGUAAAGCGAGCGCAGGCGGUUUUUUAAGUCUGAUGUGAAAGCCCUCGGCUUAACCGAGGAAGUGCAUCGGAAACUGGGAAACUUGAGUGCAGAAGAGGACAGUGGAACUCCAUGUGUAGCGGUGAAAUGCGUAGAUAUAUGGAAGAACACCAGUGGCGAAGGCGGCUGUCUGGUCUGUAACUGACGCUGAGGCUCGAAAGCAUGGGUAGCGAACAGGAUUAGAUACCCUGGUAGUCCAUGCCGUAAACGAUGAAUGCUAG
rnacentral:rRNA from 2 species